AAACCAGCACCUCGAGGGGUCCCCACGCAUACUGGGCCUAAAGCGUCCGUAGCCGGCCCCGUAAGUCCCCGGUUAAAUCCACCGGAAGACCGGUGGGCCGCCGGGGAUACUGCGGGGCUAGGGAGCGGGAGGGGCCGAGGGUAUUCCGGGGGAUAGCGGUAAAAUGCGUAGAUCCCCGGAGGACCACCAGUGGCGAAGGCGCUCGGCUGGAACGCGUCCGACGGUGAGGGACGAAAGCUGGGGGAGCAAACCGGAUUAGAAACCCUAGUAGUCC
rnacentral:rRNA from 1 species